rnacentral:rRNA from 1 species
CCCUUAGAUGUUCUGGGCCGCACGCGCGCUACACUGACGGAGUCAACGAGUUGUCCUGCAUCGGAAGGUGUGGGUAAUCUUUUGAAACUUCGUCGCGCUGGGGAUAGAUCUUUGCAAUUUUCGAUCUUGAACGAGGAAUUCCUAGUAAGCGUGAUUCAUCAGAUCGCGUUGAUUACGUCCCUGCCCUUUGUACACACCGCCCGUCGCUACUACCGAUUGAAUGGUUUAGUGAGGCCUCGGGACUGGCGCGCUCGAGUAGCAAUACACCUGCGCGCCGGGAACUUGGUCAAACUUGAUCAUUUAGAGGAAGUAAAAGUCGUAACA